rnacentral:lncRNA from 1 species
CCAAGUUUCAACUCAGCUUGACCCAGAAUCAAAACUUCCCAGUACACGUACAUUGCUGGUGCCAGCUAGGAUUGGAAGUGCAAAUGACAUUAAUACCAUCAUCGUUUUUAGUUAAGAAUUCCUGAUCCUUUUUAUUGUUUGAGUGUUUUCCCGGUGCCUUUUAAGAAACGAGGGGUGGAGUCUGGCUACAGAAAAGUAACUGACUCCCAGCUUCAGGCAAAACUACCAUAAAUAGCCAUCUUAGAGCUUCCACUGACUUCCUUGAGGCCCCAAAUCAUGGACUUAAGAGAUGGUGCUACCCAGCUGAGGUUAUUUCUCCAGCAUCAGAACAGAAGAUAUCCAGACCACAACAUUUAUUGAGAAAAACGUAAGCCACCAUCUCUGCCACCAAGGACCAUACUCUCUAAUUUUCAAAAAUAUAUAUGCUCACGAAAGCACAAUAGACAAAGUGAGUUUUAUAAGUUACAAAAGAAAUAGAUGAAAGAAGAGAUCACUAUGCUCUUGAGUGACCGUGAAAGGCUUUAUGAAGAAGACAGGGCUGCAGCUUAGCUGUGGAGAUGUGUCUUGGAGUGGGAUGAAAGGGAAGAAGAAAGUGAAAGAGAAUCAGGUUCAACACAGGAACAAUCCUCAGAAAAUCAACUUCAUAGACCUGCACCUGCCUCUAACACAAAUGGACCCAGCAACAUCACCACCAGGAAACAGAAGGAUCCACCGGAGCAUCAGAUCAUGACUGAGGGAGGAAGAGAGAUAGGUACUUGAGUCAUCUCGAGAGUCCAUCCAUGGGAAAGAAUGGGAGGCAGGAGGAGAGAAACAAAGCCUAAUUCUUGAGCACAGACACUCCACCUUUGGUAUGGAUGCUGUAAUGACCCGGUUGACUUAAAGACAGAUGUAAAGGCGAGGUUUGCAUCCUCCAUUCUUCUUUUGAGCUAUAACAUUGUAUCCGUGACUCUAGGUCCCAUAACACAGGUGUCUCCAUCGCCGGGGCGUGGACAGGUACAGGUUGGUGGCCCAUUAGGAAUCGGGCCACACAGCAGGUGAGCAGUGGGCGAGCCCGCAUUACCGGCUGAGCUCUGCCUCCUAAUGCUCCAGGCACUAGAUUCUCAUAGGAGGCAAACCCUAUUGUGAACUGUGCAUGCAAGGGAUCUAGGUUGUGUUCUCCUUACGAGAUUCUUACUAAUGCCUGGUGAUUUUAGGUGGAACAAUUUCAUCCUAAAACCAUCCCUCCCACCCCCAUUCCGUGGAAAACUUGUCUUCCACAAAACCAGUCCCUGGUGCUAGAAAGGUUGGGGACUGCUGCCAUAACAGAUCCAAGAGCCAUUACACCAAGGCCAGCUUCAGCCAAACACCUUCAACUGACUGAAGUCAUGCGUUCCUAGAGGGAUCUGUACAAGGAAUUUAUCUACCACCUGGCCCCAUUCUUCUAAGGGCAUUCUGAAAUGCUGAAACCCAAACCGAGAAACUUAAGGGCCAAUUACCUUAGAGAUCUGCUAUAGGACCUGGAACAGAACAAAGGGCUAGAUGUUGGAAAGUCACAUGAGAUGCCAUUUAUCAUGUGGGCUGAGAACGGUUAGUCUGAGAAUAUUCCCAUUUGGGUAAUUCUAUAUCACUCACCCCAAAUUUUUCUUCCUUGAAAGUAAUGUUGCUGCAAGUUUGUUUAGCUAUUAAUCAUUUGCAAUUUGGGAUGCCUAUCACCUUGGUAAUGGAAGAAGAAACCUGAUAUUACAGCUAAAAUUCCAAACAAUUUCCAGAAAGAUUGUUUUUUAAGUUUUUUUGAGGCAGAGUCUCAACUCAUACCACCCAGGCUGGAGUGCAGUGGCAUGAUUACAGCUCACUGCAGCCUUGACUACCUGGGCUCAGGUGAUCCUCCCACCUCAGCCUCCCAAGUACCUGGGACUACAGGUGCAUGCCACCAUGCCCAGCUAAUUUUUGUACUUUUAGUAGACAUGGGGUUUCAACCAUGUUGUCCAGGCUGGUCUUGAACUCCUGGGCUCAAGCUAUCUGCCCACCUCAGCCUCCCAAACUGCUGGGAUUACAGGUGUGAACCACUGUGCCUGGCCGAUUAAAAUUUUUUAAAAGCAACUGCCAUUAGGCAAGUCACCCUGUUUAUUUUAUUUACCUAUAAAAUAUCAGGGGUGGGGUGCGGUGGCUCAAGCCUGUAAUCUCAGCACUUUGGGAGGUCAAGGCAGGCCGAUCAUCUGAGAUCAGGAGUUCGAGACCAGCCUGGCCAACACGGUAAAGCCCCGUCUCUACAAAAAUACAAAAAUUAUCCAAGUGUGGUGGUGUGUGCCUGUAGUCCCAGCUACUUGGGAGGCUGAGGCAGGAGAAUUGCUUGAAUCCGGGAGGCGGAGGUUGCAGUGAGCCAAGAUCAUGCCACUGCGCUCCAGCCUGGGCAACAGAGUGAGACUGUCUCAAAAAAAAAAAGAGAGAGAGACAGACAGAGAAAAGAAAAGAAAAAUCAGGGAACUGGAUGUUUCUUGUGGGAAAAUAAUGAGUGGUUCAGAACCCUCCUCCUAAAAAAAGCUCAGGUCUUCAUCCUCUGUCCCCCAUCUUCCUAAAUCGACCUACUCCACUGCUCCUCAGAUCCAGAAACACCCGGCUGGCAUUCCCAGCAGCUACGCUGAUGACAUGAUAAGCAAGAUCGCCUUAUAUGUGAGCAUCCAAGGACUUGGGGAAAGUGCUAGUUAGGAACACCAAGUCACACACAGCUCAUCACCCAGUUCUCAGGACUUCCCCACCCUUCCUUUCCACCCUCAAGAAAUGGCAUAUGGCUGCUUUGGGAGUGACCAAAUCCCUGGAAUUUCUCCCACAGCAUACUCCUUCCGCACUCUGCCCUACAAACUCAUUUCAACAAUCCAGCCCUGCACAUAAGGGAGACGUUAUUGAAUGGCCAGAAGCUUACAAAAUCUUUCACUGGCUUUGUUUUUUAAAGAGUUGAAAAAAAAUAGCUAUCUUGAUUUUUGUUGUUUUUUUCCCCCCCAAAUGCAAAAAUUUGCUUCUCAGUGAGAAUUUGUAAGAAAUUAAAAAUCUGGAAAUGUCCAAUUCAGGGAAUUAGAAAUGUAUCACCACAAUAGAUGUUUGAAUUAUGACUAGCAUAUAUUGCACAUCACCUAUGUGCCAUGAGCUACAAAUACAAAUCACAUUUAAAUAAAUUCAACUAAAUUAUAAAAGUGAACAUGGCUUGCUGUUUGAAGGAUUUGCUGAGAGCCCCAGCUUUGGUGUUCGGCACACCUACACUCCAAUCCAGGCUUUGCACAUAGUAGGUUGUUGCAGCUGUCACUUCUCAGAAAGGACUUCCUGGUUGUCCUUUGUCAAAUAAGUACAUUGAGACAUUACAGCGGUAGUCAGAGACUUAACUAGGCUGUGCAUAAAUAGUAAAAGCAGCUAAUAUUACCUAAGUGUUUACUAUAUGCAAAUGCUUUGCCUGAAUUAACUCAUUUAAUCCUCGAACAACCAUAAAAGCAGAACUGUUAUUUUUAUAAAAAUUAAAUUAUUAUUUACAUGCUAAUAAAACAUAAGCUCCAGGACACCUCACUUGUGCAAGCCCCUAAAAAUGCGUGAUGUUUGUGGUGCCUGUCAGAUUGUCAAAAUGUGUAAUUUGUUGUGCUUUCUUUAUCUUUCUAAAUAAAUAGUCAUUUUAGCACCUAAUUUUGUAGUUAUAAUUUGAUACUUUUUUCCUUCAAGAGGGUCCUGCAAAUUGUAUAAACUUUACUCUCCUCCCAAAGCCUAGAUCCACCCCUGCCUAUGUAGUAG